rnacentral:misc_RNA from 1 species
UUGGAGGUGGUGGAGAAUCAGCAGUGGUGGGGAGAUAGUUUCAGAGAAAGGAGGCAUAGCUGAAUUGAUACAAGCACUUGACCAAGCAACCCUAAUGGCUAAACAACUCCCCACCACUGCUGAUUCUUCUCAACUCCUACAAAUCCACUCUUCCCUUCAAUCUGCUCACCACCGUCUCUCCAACUUCCUUUCCCAAACCCACCACCACCAAACACCACAUCUCCUCCCUGCACCACUUCCAUUUACCGAGAAUUCUGUCUCCUCCGCCGUAGGAGGGGAACCUAUGCAAGUUGGGGAUGAGGAA